UUUAAGUCCCAACUGAAUGUUCUUUUCCGCCUGUUCUAAGUUGAAGCAUUCUCUUUCGAAGCAUUGUUGCGAACGCAUUUUUGAAGAAUCCGAAAUGCGCAGCAAAAAUAUAUUAUAUUACUGAAAAUUAUUUUCUUGUGUCUUGUGGUGGGCUGUUGCGCUACCUUCUUCCCAGGAAAAGUCACCGAGCCUGAAUUAAUAUCUAAUCUAAUAGGCUCAGUUUUAGACUUUGUGGGCCCAACACCUAUUGGCAAUAUUAGCAAGAAAAGGGAUCCUAUAAUAAAAAAAAAUAAGCAUAAUGGUAAGAAGAAAUUACGGAAACUACUGAAGAAAUAUAGAAAAUCGCAUGGCUAGGCGAGAGUGUAAAACUGCUAUAUCUAUUUAAUCUGAUAGACCAAGCAGCACAGCAAAGAAAUUCACAGCUCUAAAUACACGUCGUGCUACUAAUAUCGCAUAUAAAGAAAAGUGUACGAAAAAAAUGCAAA